AGGCCUUCGGGUCGUAAAGCUCUGUUGUUAGGGAAGAACAAGUACCAGAGUAACUGCUGGUACCUUGACGGUACCUAACCAGAAAGCCACGGCUAACUACGUGCCAGCAGCCGCGGUAAUACGUAGGUGGCAAGCGUUGUCCGGAAUUAUUGGGCGUAAAGCGCGCGCAGGCGGUUCCUUAAGUCUGAUGUGAAAGCCCACGGCUCAACCGUGGAGGGUCAUUGGAAACUGGGGAACUUGAGUGCAGAAGAGGAAAGCGGAAUUCCACGUGUAGCGGUGAAAUGCGUAGAGAUGUGGAGGAACACCAGUGGCGAAGGCGGCUUUCUGGUCUGUAACUGACGCUGAGGCGCGAAAGCGUGGGGAGCAAACAGGAUUAGAUACCCUGGUAGUCCACGCCGUAAACGAUGAGUGCUAAGUGUUAGGGGGUUUCCGCCCCUUAGUGCUGCAGCUAACGCAUUAAGCACUCCGCCUGGGGAGUACGGCCGCAAGGCUGAAACUCAAAGGAAUUGACGGGGGCCCGCACAAGCGGUGGAACAUGUGGUUUAAUUCGAAGCAACGCGAAGAACCUUACCAGGUCUUGACAUCCUCUGACAACUCUAGAGAUAGAGCGUUCCCCUUCGGGGGACAGAGUGACAGGUGGUGCAUGGUUGUCGUCAGCUCGUGUCGUGAGAUGUUGGGUUAAGUCCCGCAACGAGCGCAACCCUUGAUCUUAGUUGCCAG
rnacentral:rRNA from 1 species